rnacentral:piRNA from 1 species
UGAGCUGAUCUCGUGACACUUGUGA